rnacentral:rRNA from 1 species
AUCCGGAGGGGGCUAGCGUUGUUCGGAAUUACUGGGCGUAAAGGGCGCGUAGGCGGACUAUCAAGCCAGGGGUGAAAGGCCUGGGCUCAACCCGGGAACUGCCUUUGAAACUGAAAGUCUAGAGUCCGAGAGAGGAUAGCGGAAUUCCCAGUGUAGAGGUGAAAUUCGUAGAUAUUGGGAAGAACACCAGUGGCGAAGGCGGCUAUCUGGCUCGGUACUGACGCUGAGGCGCGAAAGCGUGGGGAGCAAACAGGAUUAGAUACCCCGGUAGUCC